UCCAUCUCCGACAGGACCAAGGCACCUCCAGAUAACACUUUGCGAACCAUGUAGGGUCCUUGCCAAUUUGGUGCAAAUUUUCCUUUAUAUUCAUCCUGGUGAGGGAAAAUACGUUUGAGAACCAACUGAUCAAUCUCAAACAUUCUGGCUCUUACUUUCUUGUGAAAAGCACGAAUCAUUCUCUGUCGAUACAGUUGUCCAUGACAAACAUCAACCAUUCUCUUCUCAUCAAUCAAUGUUAACUGAUCAAUC
rnacentral:lncRNA from 1 species